AAGACUAUAGACCUGCGGAGUACCUGCGGAGGGAUCAUUACCGAGUUUACAAAACUCCCAAACCCUUUGUGAACCUUACCUAUCGUUGCUUCGGCGGGAACGCCCCGGCGCCCUCGCGGCCCGGAACCAGGCGCCCGCCGGAGGCCCCAAACCCUCAUGUCUUUAGUGGUUUCCUCCUCUGAGUGACAUAAACAAAUAAAGUAAAAACUUUCAACAACGGAUCUCUAGAUCGGAAGAGCA
rnacentral:misc_RNA from 1 species